rnacentral:rRNA from 1 species
AUUGAACGCUGGCGGCAUGCCUUACACAUGCAAGUCGAACGGCAGCACGGACUUCGGUCUGGUGGCGAGUGGCGAACGGGUGAGUAAUAUAUCGGAACAUACCCUAGAGUGGGGGAUAACGUAGCGAAAGUUACGCUAAUACCGCAUACGAUCUAAGGAUGAAAGCGGGGGAUCGCAGGACCUCGUGCUCAUGGAGUGGCCGAUAUCUGAUUAGCUAGUUGGUGAGGUAAAGGCUCACCAAGGCGACGAUCAGUAGCUGGUUUGAGAGAACGACCAGCAACACUGGAACUGAGACACGGUCCAGACUCCUACGGGAGGCAGCAGUGGGGAAUUUUGGGCAAUGGGCGCAAGCCUGAUUCAGCAAUGCCGCGUGAGUGAAGAAGGCCUUCGGGUUGUAAAGCUCUUUUGUCAGGGAAGAAACGGUGAGUCCUAAUACGGCUUGCUAAUGACGGUACCUGAAGAAUAAGCACCGGCUAACUACGUGCCAGCCGCCGCAGUAAUAC